rnacentral:sRNA from 1 species
UCUCUUCCUGUGUGCCAAUAUCAUUUG